rnacentral:rRNA from 1 species
UACGUAGGGUGCGAGCGUUGUCCGGAAUUAUUGGGCGUAAAGGGCUCGUAGGCGGUUUGUCGCGUCGGGAGUGAAAACAUCCAGCUUAACUGGGUGCUUGCUUUCGAUACGGGCAGACUUGAGGUAUGCAGGGGAGAAUGGAAUUCCUGGUGUAGCGGUGAAAUGCGCAGAUACCAGGAGGAACACCGGUGGCGAAGGCGGUUCUCUGGGCAUUACCUGACGCUGAGGAGCGAAAGUGUGGGGAGCGAACAGG